rnacentral:tRNA from 1 species
GCCAGCGUAACCGAGUAGUAAGGUGGCGGCCUGCAGAGCCGUUGCGCAAGCAUCGUGGGUGCAAAUCCCACCGCUGGCU